rnacentral:rRNA from 1 species
CGGCGCACGGGUGAGUAACACGUAUCCAACCUGCCGUCUACUCUUGGCCAGCCUUCUGAAGGGAAGAUUAAUCCAGGAUGGCAUCAUGAGUUCACAUGUCCGCAUGAUUAAAGGUAUUUUCCGGUAGACGAUGGGGAUGCGUUCCAUUAGAUAGUAGGCGGGGUAACGGCCCACCUAGUCAACGAUGGAUAGGGGUUCUGAGAGGAAGGUCCCCCACAUUGGAACUGAGACACGGUCCAAACUCCUACGGGAGGCAGCAGUGAGGAAUAUUGGUCAAUGGGCGAUGGCCUGAACCAGCCAAGUAGCGUGAAGGAUGACUGCCCUAUGGGUUGUAAACUUCUUUUAUAAAGGAAUAAAGUCGGGUAUGCAUACCCGUUUGCAUGUACUUUAUGAAUAAGGAUCGGCUAACUCCGUGCCAGCAGCCGCGGUAAUACGGAGGGUCCGAGCGUUAUCCGGAUUUAUUGGGUUUAAAGGGAGCGUAGAUGGAUGUUUAAGUCAGUUGUGAAAGUUUGCGGCUCAACCGUAAAAUUGCAGUUGAUACUGGAUGUCUUGAGUGCAGUUGAGGCAGGCGGAAUUCGUGGUGUAGCGGUGAAAUGCUUAGAUAUCACGAAGAACUCCGAUUGCGAAGGCAGC